UGAGGAUAACGACGAUGAUACGGACGAGGGAGAAGGAAAGCACGGAGGCAUGUUCAGUCGGAUGAGGAAAAUGAGAAACCGAAGAAAGGAAGCGAGAAAGAGUAAAAUGAGUAACAAUGAGGAUAACGACGAUGAUACGGAUGAGGGAGAAGGAAAGCACGGAGGCAUGUUCAGUCG